CUGAAGACUCCGAGACCUCACUGACUAGAACACUGGGAAGAACACAUUCAAUCAAAGACCAACUGAGUUUCAGCAGUGAAAACGCAGGCAAAGUUUGGUGGAUUAUGGAAAUGCUCAAUUUGGAUUGGAAGCUUCAGGGAAUGAAGCAUGCUGCUUAUUGUGCAGGGGACAAAUGAGUCAUGUAUGAAUCCGCUACCAAUCUGGUGGUCCUUACUAAAAUGAAUGUCCAUG